rnacentral:pre_miRNA from 1 species
AGUGAGGAGGCUUUGUAGAGGAUGGAAUAAUAGAGAUCCAUCUGGUCACUAAUGUUCUUUAGUGACUUGAGUCGUAGCUUUUGAUUAUUUCAUCCUCUGCAAAGUCUCCUCACU